GGCUUUUUGAUAAUAAUUAAAAGUCUGGCCUGCCCACUGAGAUUUAAAGGGCCGCAGUAUUUUGACUGUGCAAAGGUAGCAUAAUCAUUAGUUUUUUAAUUGAAAACUGGAAUGAAUGGUUUCAUGAGAAAAUGACUGUCUUAGAUUUAAUUUUUAAAUUUUAUUUUUAAGUUAAAAAGCUUAGAUAUAAUUAAAAGACGAGAAGACCCUAUAGAUUUUAAUAAAAAUUAUAGUUUAGUUUUUUUAGAAUUUUGAUUUUUAAAUUUUAAUUUUAUUUGGUUGGGGUGAUUAUAAAAUUAAAUUAACUUUUUAUUUUUUAUUCAAUGAUAUUUGAAUUUUUGAUCCAAUGAUUUUGAUUAAAAGAUUAAAUUACCUUAGGGAUAACAGCGUUAUUUUUUAUGAGAGUUCAAAUCGAAUAAGAAGUUUGCGACCUCGAUGUUGGAUUAAAGUUAAUUUUUGGUGUAGAAGCUAAAAUAUUGGGUCUGUUCGACCUUUAAAAUUUUACAUGA
rnacentral:rRNA from 1 species